AGAGUUUGAUCCUGGCUCAGAGUGAACGCUGGCGGCGUGCCUAACACAUGCAAGUCGAACGAGAACGGGUUACAGUUUACUGUAACUGUCAGCUAAGUGGCGCACGGGUGAGUAAUAUAUAGUUAACCUGCCUCAAAGAAGAGAAUAAUUGUUGGAAACGACUUGUAAUGCUCUAUAUGCCUUUAUCACAUAAGUGAGCAAGGGAAAUAUUUAUAGCUUUGAGAUGGGACCGUACGGUAUCAGUUUGUUGGUGAGGUAAUGGCUCACCAAGACUAUGACGCCUAACUGGUUUGAGAGGAUGAUCAGUCACACUGGAACUGAGACACGGUCCAGACUCCUACGGGAGGCAGCAGUGGGGAAUAUUGCACAAUGGAGGAAACUCUGAUGCAGCAACGCCGCGUGGAGGAUGACACAUUUCGGUGCGUAAACUCCUUUUAUUAGGGAAGAUAAUGACGGUACCUAAUGAAUAAGCACCGGCUAACUCCGUGCCAGCAGCCGCGGUAAUACCGGGGGGUGCAAGCGUUACUCGGAAUCACUGGGCGUAAAGAGCAUGUAGGCUGAUUUGUAAGUUGGAAGUGAAAUCCUAUGGCUUAACCAUAGAACUGCU
rnacentral:rRNA from 1 species